GGACAAUCCCCCCCGGAGCAACCUGGAGUUAAGUGCCUUGCUCAAGGGCCCAACAGUGACAUCUUGGUGGUGCUGGGGCUUGAACCCCCGACCUUCUGGUUUGGAGAGUGACAGGUUGACAGAUUCUGUCAAAGACUGCUGUGGGCCCCUGGCUUCCUGUUGGGAAAGAUGUUUGAGUGAAGCGGAAUAAACGUGGACAUGAGUGAGGAUCAAAAUACUUCCAGACAGGAUGACAAAUUAUGCCCUGAGCAGAACGCCAAGGACCCUUCU